AACGAACGCUGGCGGCAGGCUUAACACAUGCAAGUCGAGCGCCUCGCAAGAGGAGCGGCAGACGGGUGAGUAACGCGUGGGAAUCUACCGUGCCCUAAGGAAUAGCUCCGGGAAACUGGAAUUAAUACCUUAUACGCCCCCCUUUGGAGACAUUGGGGGGGGAAAGAUUUAUCGGGGUAUGAUGAGCCCGCGUUGGAUUA
rnacentral:rRNA from 1 species